rnacentral:rRNA from 1 species
UAAGAAAUCGAGAGUGUAGGCGAAAGGUCUGGGAAGGCCUGGCGUAGACGGUGAGACCCCGGUAGCCGAAACACCCUCGACUCCGUGCAUGUUUCCCAAGUAGUACGGGGCCCGAGAAAUCCCGUACGAAUCUGGCAGGACCACCUGCUAAGCCUAAAUAUUCCCUGGUGACCGAUAGCGGACAAGUACCGUGAGGGAAAGGUGAAAAGUACCCCGGGAGGGGA